AUUGAACGCUGGCGGCAUGCUUUACACAUGCAAGUCGAACGGUAACAGGCCGCAAGGUGCUGACGAGUGGCGAACGGGUGAGUAAUGCAUCGGAACGUGCCCAGUCGUGGGGGAUAACGCAGCGAAAGUUGCGCUAAUACCGCAUACGAUCUAUGGAUGAAAGCGGGGGACCGUAAGGCCUCGCGCGCUUGGAGCGGCCGAUGCCAGAUUAGGUAGUUGGUGGGGUAAAGGCUCACCAAGCCGACGAUCUGUAGCUGGUCUGAGAGGACGACCAGCCACACUGGGACUGAGACACGGCCCAGACUCCUACGGGAGGCAGCAGUGGGGAAUUUUGGACAAUGGGCGCAAGCCUGAUCCAGCAAUGCCGCGUGCAGGAAGAAGGCCUUCGGGUUGUAAACUGCUUUUGUACGGAACGAAACGGUCCUGGUUAAUACCCGGGGCUAAUGACGGUACCGUAAGAAUAAGCACCGGCUAACUACGUGCCAGCAGCCGCCGUAACAC
rnacentral:rRNA from 1 species